rnacentral:tRNA from 1 species
CCUUUUCUAGGAUAAUUGCCUUCCAAGCAAUAGACCCGGGUUCGACUCCCGGCAGAAGCA